GCGCCCGUAGCUCAAUUGGAUAGAGCUUUGGUCUUCGAAACCAAAGGUUACAGGUUCGAGUCCUGUCGGGCGUA
rnacentral:tRNA from 1 species